UACGGAGGAUGCAAGCGUUAUCCGGAAUGAUUGGGCGUAAAGCGUCCGCAGGUGGCUGUGUAAGUCUGCUGUUAAAGAGUCUAGCUCAACUAGAUAAAAGCAGUGGAAACUACACGGCUAGAGUACGUUCGGGGCAGAGGGAAUUCCUGGUGUAGCGGUGAAAUGCGUAGAUAUCUGGAGGAACACCGGUGGCGAAGGCGGCAUCCUGGACCGGUAUUGACGCUGAGGCGCGAAAGCCAGGGGAGCAAACGGG
rnacentral:rRNA from 1 species